GAUGAACGCUGGCGGCGUGCCUAAUACAUGCAAGUCGAGCGAACGGACGAGAAGCUUGCUUCUCUGAUGUUAGCGGCGGACGGGUGAGUAACACGUGGAUAACCUACCUAUAAGACUGGGAUAACUUCGGGAAACCGGAGCUAAUACCGGAUGAUAUUUUGAACCGCAUGGUUCAAAAGUGAAAGACGGUCUUGCUGUCACUUAUAGAUGGAUCCGCGCUGCAUUAGCUAGUUGGUAAGGUAACGGCUUACCAAGGCAACGAUGCAUAGCCGACCUGAGAGGGUGAUCGGCCACACUGGAGCUGCGACACGGUCCAGACUCCUACGGGAGGCAGCAGUAGGGAAUCUUCCGCAAUGGGCGAAAGCCUGACGGAGCAACGCCGCGUGAGUGAUGAAGGUCUUCGGAUCGUAAAACUCUGUUAUUAGGGAAGAACAUAUGUGUAAGUAACUGUGCACAUCUGGACGGUACCUAAUCAGAAAGCCACGGCUAACUACGU
rnacentral:rRNA from 1 species